rnacentral:rRNA from 1 species
GCGUAACACGUGGGCAAUCUGCCCUCCGAUGGGGAAUAACCCCGCGAAAGCGGGGCUAAUACCGCAUAACAUUCCUUGGACUAUGGUUUGAGGACUCAAAGCAGCAAUGCGUCGGAGGAGGAGCCCGCGCCCGAUUAGCUAGUUGGUGAGGUAACGGCUCACCAAGGCAAUGAUCGGUAGCUGGUCUGAGAGGAUGGCCAGCCACACUGGAACUGAGACACGGUCCAGACUCCUACGGGAGGCAGCAGUGGGGAAUCUUGCGCAAUGGGCGAAAGCCUGACGCAGCGACGCCGCGUGGGGGAUGAAGCUUUUCGGAGUGUAAACCCCUUUCGACUGGGACGAAUGCCCGCAAGGGAGUGACGGUACCAGUAGAAGAAGCCCCGGCUAACUACGUGCCAGCAGCCGCGGUAAGACGUAGGGGGCCAGCGUUGUUCGGAAUUACUGGGUGUAAAGGGUUCGUAGGCGGUGUGGCAAGUCGGGAGUGAAAUCUCUGGGCUUAACUCAGAGGCUGCUUCCGAAACUGCUGUGCUUGAGUGUGGGAGAGGCGCGUGGAAAUUGCAGGUGUAGCGGUGAAAUGC